CACAACCACCGUCUCCUCCGAUUUUUCUAUCUCUCGCAGUGCGUUUGUGACUCUCGUUACUUCCGCCAUUCACAUUCAUACUGGCAAGCUGUUGUUAUUAGUUGACGGAAUCUUCAAUCUUUCAACUUCAUCUGAUGCUUUACGCGCUGUAAAUCGCACCGAAAACAGUAAUCUGAGAUGGCGAACGUUUCAACCACAUCAAAACCUAUUGAUGCAAAGGCAACUGUGUUUGGGGGAUACUUAUUUCUUUUAUGCGGCUCCAUUUCCUUUUUGUUGUUUCUCUUUUCGGCGAUAAUUACCAAGCUUCUUCCACCAUCUAGCAAUCAAAUACUAUCAGCUGUUCAGAAUGACAGGUACUACUGUUUCCUGGUGCCGUUGACUCUUCCUGUCCUCGUGGUGGCUGUAUAUUUUCAUUGGCUCAGCAUGAAACUUUUCAAACAUGCAUGAAUUCAGUACAGAUGAUGACUCAGAUAUAACAAUGGAAUGAGGCCAGGACAAAGUGAAGUGUUUGAUUCAAGACAGUAGUCUGCUGAGAUUAGGUUGUUUCAAAGGAUAGCAUUUGGCAGCCAGGAUUACAGUACUGUUUUCUUUCUUUUUUAUCCGAGGUAGCUAUACUUGAGAGUACACUGUCAUUGGCAAAAGAGGGAGGGAGAGACUGGUUUUAAAUUCUAGAUCUUUGAAGUAGCAGACUGAGAUGUUUACCGGAGGUAAAUCUAUUAAUUUAGUUGUACAUGUUAUAUCUGUUCAUUUAAUUGUACAUGUUAUAUGCGUGGCAGGUAGGAUCUGAGUAAGUUCUCCUUACCAUAUUCUGUAGUUGUUUCCACUGCAACAUAAUUUCUUUCUCCCCUUUAAUGUAUAUU